UUCCUACGGGAGGCAGCAGUGGGGAAUAUUGCACAAUGGGGGAAACCCUGAUGCAGCGACGCCGCGUGAGUGAAGAAGUAUUUCGGUAUGUAAAGCUCUAUCAGCAGGGAAGAAAAAAGACGGUACCUGACUAAGAAGCCCCGGCUAACUACGUGCCAGCAGCCGCGGUAAUACGUAGGGGGCAAGCGUUAUCCGGAUUUACUGGGUGUAAAGGGAGCGUAGACGGUAUGGCAAGUCUGAAGCGAAAGCCCAGGGCUUA
rnacentral:rRNA from 1 species